GUGCGUCGAGGCAGUCCAGCGGCUCGCAGCGGGCAGAUCCAGCCUGGAGACCAGCUGGACGCGGUGGAGGGUCGAGCGGUCGGAGGUCUGCAGCACCGAGACCUCGCCCAGAUCCUGAGGAGAGCCGGGAACACACUGAGACUGAGCAUCACACCGAGACACCACUCGUCCUCUCUGUCAGAGGGAGCAGAUCUGGAUAUUGACGGCCGGGUGAUGAAAGGAUCCAGAAGCAGGUCAAAGGAGGAGUCCAGGUUCUACAACGUGGAUCUGGAGCGAGGUCCGACAGGUUUCGGUUUCUCUCUGAGGGG
rnacentral:lncRNA from 1 species